rnacentral:rRNA from 1 species
CGGCGUGCUUAACACAUGCAAGUCGAACGCGAAGGGACUUCGGUCCUGAGUAAAGUGGCGCACGGGUGAGUAACGCGUAGAUAACCUGUCUUCAUGGUCUGGAACUAAUACGCCGAAAGGGGUACUAAUACCGGAUAUUCUUGCUUUUCAUAAGUUAUGCAAGCAAAGGUGGCCUCUGCAUAUGCUACUGCAUGAAGAGGGGUCUGCGUACCAUUAGCUAGUAGGUGGGGUAAUGGCCUACCUAGGCGACGAUGGUUAGCGGGUCUGAGAGGAUGAUCCGCCACACUGGCACUGGAACACGGGCCAGACUCCUACGGGAGGCAGCAGUGAGGAAUAUUGCGCAAUGGGGGAAACCCUGACGCAGCGACGCCGCGUGAGUGAAGGAAGGCCUUCGGGUCGUAAAGCUCUGUCAAGAGGAAAGAAGUGUACAAUGGCUAAUACCUGUUGUAUUUGACGGUACCUCUAAAGGAAGCACCGGCUAACUCCGUGCCAGCAGCCGC